rnacentral:rRNA from 1 species
GACGAACGCUGGCGGCGUGCUUAACACAUGCAAGUCGAACGGAAAGGCCCUGCUUUUGUGGGGUGCUCGAGUGGCGAACGGGUGAGUAACACGUGAGUAACCUGCCCCUGACUUUGGGAUAACUUCAGGAAACUGGGGCUAAUACCGGAUAGGAGCUCCUGCUGCAUGGUGGGGGUUGGAAAGUUUCGGCGGUUGGGGAUGGACUCGCGGCUUAUCAGCUUGUUGGUGGGGUAGUGGCUUACCAAGGCUUUGACGGGUAGCCGGCAUGAGAGGGUGACCGGCCACAUUGGGACUGAGAGACGGCGCAGACUGCUAUGGGAGGCAGUGGGGGAAAAUAUGACACAAUGGGCGGAAGCCAGAUGCAGCAGCGCCGCGUGCGGAAUGCCGGCUUUCGGGUUGUGAACCGCUUUCGCCUGUAACGAAGCGUGAGUGACGGUAAUGGGUAAAGAAGCACCGGCUAACUACGUG